UCACCGUAUCAAGCUUGGCUUGUUGUUGGGCCCUUUGUCACCUGGUGACAGGUCCAAAAGACAAUAACCGGUGUCAUACAGACUCUAUAUGCAACGAGCUUAUAACAGCACGCAUCUGGUGGUCGUGUGGCCCGGUUUUCAUACAUAUGUAUAAAUAAAUUUCUCAA
rnacentral:misc_RNA from 1 species